UUGGAGGGCAAGUCUGGUGCCAGCAGCCGCGGUAAUUCCAGCUCCAAUAGCGUAUAUUAAAGUUGUUGCAGUUAAAAAGCUCGUAGUUGAAUUUCGGGAUCAAUAUAACGGUCAUGCCGUUGGUAUGCACUGUUAUCAUUGAUUUCUCACCUUCUAAGGAACCGUAAUGCCAUUAAUUUGGUGUUACGGGGAAUUAGGACUGUUACCUUGAAAAAAUUAGAGUGUUUAAAGCAGGCUCACGCUUGAAUACAUUAGCAUGGAAUAAUGAAAUAGGACAUCCGAUUCUAUUUUGUUGGUUUCUAGGAUCGAUGUAAUGAUUAAUAGGGAUAGUUGGGGGCAUUAGUAUUCAAUUGCCAGAGGUGAAAUUCUUGGAUUUAUUGAAGACUAACUACUGCGAAGGCAUUUGCCAAGGAUGUUUUCAUUAAUCAAGAACGAAAGUUAGGGGAUCGAAGACGAUCAGAUACCGUCGUAGUCUUAACCAUAAACUAUGCCGACUAGGGAUCGGAUGAUGUUAAUUUUUUAAUGACUCAUUCGGCGCCUUACGGGAAAC
rnacentral:rRNA from 1 species